UAGUGGGAGUAUUAUAUACAACUAAAACAAUCAUAUGGACCAAUAGUUGUAAUAGGACCAAAAUUGUUUUAAUAAGAUUAAAAUGUAUGUUAUAUAUAUGAUGAGACCUAAAACCCUCAACCAAACCAUUAUUAAGUUGACAAGCGUGAGAGUGCUUUGAACACUCUUUCGUGGCCUUCCACUGUGGUAGGCUCCAAUCGUUUAUGACUUGUACACCGCCUUCACCCUAUCAUGGGGGAGUGCAAAGUGCAUGCUUAUACUCAGGAGGAGUCUAUAUGCAUACUUGAUGAUGUGAGACGUAGGCAACGAGAAUGAUCAACAUCAUAUCAUUGUGAGGUUGUUCUUGAACCCCUACCCGAACUUGCAUGGUGGGAAUGACUUAACUAAGUGCAAUGGAGCCAACAUCAUAUCAUUGUGAGGUAACAUUCUCUAGAGGCCAAAUAAGAUGGGUACUUGCAAGAGAUGUAAAUGAGUAAGCGUACUCUCUCAUUAUUAUUAAUGCUAGCCAACAUCAUAUCAUUGUGAGGUG
rnacentral:lncRNA from 1 species